GAAGAGACAUGGGAAAUAAAAGCAAGUAGAAAAUUAUACUGAAAGAUUCAAGCUGAAAGAAAUAAAGACAAAGAGGGAGGGGAGAAGAAAGAACACUUACCAGCUUCUGGAUUCCUACCCAGAGGACUACAGAUUCAAAUAGCCAUUUCACCUAACUACUUUGAAUCAAAUGGGAAAACCUUCACAUAUCCCAGAUUGCAGAAAUAUGCUGUCGUAAGAGCUGGCUGGAGUGCAACGUUACCUGUAUAUGUGGCUGCACCCCUGUCUGAGUUUUGCAGAGCAGAGAGCAGAAGCCUCCUGUUUUGCCAGCAGUUUAAAACCAUUGAAGAGAUAAUGCUAGACCUUCAGAGAAGAGACAGGUGGAUUCUUUAUCACUUCUCCGCCUGGGAAGCCCUUUCUACCAGAGGUGACCACUAUUCUGAGUGCUAUCACCACAGAUGAGUUCUGCCAGUCCUUUCACCUGAUGUAGAUGGAAACAUGCUGUAUCAACUCUCUUGCAUCUUGAUUGACUGACUCAUUAUAAUGUUUUUGACAUUCACCCAUGUGUUAUAUGAAUGUGUAAUUUGUUCCUUUUUUGGCACACACUAUUCCAUUGCAUGGAGUUACCACCAUUUGUCUGUCCAUCCACAAGAAAAUGUAAACAUGUUGUUUUGGGUAUUUUACUAUUAUGAAUAAAGCUGCAAUGAAC
ensembl:lncRNA